GGAUCCAGACUUUGAUCCUGGCUCAGAUUGAACGCUGGCGGCAUGCCUUACACAUGCAAGUCGAACGGCAGCGCGGGGCAACCUGGCGGCGAGUGGCGAACGGGUGAGUAAUAUAUCGGAACGUACCCUGGAGUGGGGGAUAACGUAGCGAAAGUUACGCUAAUACCGCAUACGAUCUAAGGAUGAAAGUGGGGGAUGCGCAAGCACCUCAUGCUCCUGGAGCGGCCGAUAUCUGAUUAGCUAGUUGGUGGGGUAAAGGCCUACCAAGGCAUCGGUCAGUAGCUGGUCUGAGAGGACGACCAGCCACACUGGAACUGAGACACGGUCCAGACUCCUACGGGAGGCAGCAGUGGGGAAUUUUGGACAAUGGGCGAAAGCCUGAUCCAGCAAUGCCGCGUGAGUGAGGAAGGCCUUCGGGUUGUAAAGCUCUUUUGUCAGGGAAGAAACGGUGAAGGCUAAUAUCCUUUGCUAAUGACGGUACCUGAAGAAUAAGCACCGGCUAACUACGUGCCAGCAGCCGCGGUAAUACGUAGGGUGCAAGCGUUAAUCGGAAUUACUGGGCGUAAAGCGUGCGCAGGCGGUUUUGUAAGUCUGUCGUGAAAUCCCCGGGCUCAACCUGGGAAUUGCGAUGGAGACUGCAAGGCUAGAAUCUGGCAGAGGGGGGUAGAAUUCCACGUGUAGCAGUGAAAUGCGUAGAGAUGUGGAGGAACACCGAUGGCGAAGGCAGCCCCCUGGGUCAAGAUUGACGCUCAUGCACGAAAGCGUGGGGAGCAAACAGGAUUAGAUACCCUGGUAGUCCACGCCCUAAACGAUGUCUACUAGUUGUCGGGUUUUAAUUAACUUGGUAACGCAGCUAACGCGUGAAGUAGACCGCCUGGGGAGUACGGUCGCAAGAUUAAAACUCAAAGGAAUUGACGGGGACCCGCACAAGCGGUGGAUGAUGUGGAUUAAUUCGAUGCAACGCGAAAAACCUUACCUACCCUUGACAUGUACGGAAGCCACGAGAGAUCGAGGUGUGCUCGAAAGAGAGCCGUAACACAGGUGCUGCAUGGCUGUCGUCAGCUCGUGUCGUGAGAUGUUGGGUUAAGUCCCGCAACGAGCGCAACCC
rnacentral:rRNA from 1 species